UGGAGGAGGAACCUUGAGGAAGAGGGAAUGAGAAGAUCAUGAAGUAGCCUGGGGAGAGAGAAUUGCUGCUGUGAGUGAUAAACAAGAAGUCUGUGUCUUGGCUCACUUCAACCCUCUAAGAAGAGGGCUGCUGCCAACACCUUUGCAUUCUUUUCUUCUCACCACCAUUAUUAUGACAGUGGAGGGAGUAUCUCAGGGUGUCAGCUGGAAGAGCCAUGAAAAACUGGUCAAGAAGUAGCCAUUCAAGGAAUAGAAGCUCAUAUAUGAACUCACCAUUCUGAUGUUGCUGUAGAACUGAAGAAACCCAAAAGCUUGUCCAGCCUUUCCAGCUCUGCCCAUUGGUCAUAACAAAAGAUGUUACCUCUACCUUCAAGCUUUUCAGGCAUUGCAUUUUCCCUACUAGUAGCUACACUGUUAGACAUUGUGGGCCAAGUUUAUUGAAAGGAGCGGCACUUUCUAGCAUCACUGGUUCACUGGCACAAUUAACUUGAUCCAGUCUGCUGUGUUUCUUCAAAGCCCCUCAGGUGGGAGGACAGAAGCAGAUGUAUCUUCCCACCAAGGUGUCAGAGAAGCCCAGCAUAGUG